rnacentral:lncRNA from 1 species
CACAACAUAACAAAAAACUGUAAAAAUCAGUUGUAAAAAUCGUGUCUUUACUCAUCACAUCAGCAUGAAGAACGACACAAAAUCUAAACAAAUAGGCAAAAAACACAAAUUACCGAUCUUAUAUAAGUACAUACUGGAUGUAGGAUUAAAUGUGUCAGUAACUGUAAUGUUUGGUUUGGAUUGGCCUGUCUUUCUCUUUAUCGCACCUCUGAUAAAUUAUGACAUUAUGAUUCGUUUAACUUUGUCACGGGGUGACCCCCUCAAUAGCUAGGGGGGUCAGUAGAUUUUAUAUGGGGUUUAUGACUCAUGUUUACUUUCAAUUGUCAUCUACAGUAUUGAUGUUGUAUUUCAUAGUAAUUUUUUACAAAACGCAGUUCAAAAGAAACCUUUGAUGUGUCUUUGUAACCAAAUAAGCAA